GGUUGGUGAUGAUGAGGAUCUUUCAGCUUUAUAAUGCCAGUUCUGCUUCUGAUUUUUCAGUGAUUGAAAAGCUGGAUUUUUCCUGAGCCUCUU
rfam:Picea glauca, whole genome shotgun sequence.